rnacentral:rRNA from 1 species
UACGUAGGGGGCAAGCGUUGUCCGGAUUUAUUGGGCGUAAAGAGCGUGUAGGCGGCCAAACAGGUCAGCUGUGAAAACUCGAGGCUCAACCUCGAGACGUCGGUUGAAACCGUUUGGCUAGAGUCCGGAAGAGGAGAGUGGAAUUCCCGGUGCAGCGGUGAAAUGCGCAGAUAUCGGGAAGAACACCCGUGGCGAAGGCGGAUCUCUGGGCCAUUACUGACGCUGAGGAGCGAAAGCGUGGGGAGCGAACAGG